rnacentral:rRNA from 1 species
GAUGAACGCUGGCGGCGUGCUUAACACAUGCAAGUCGAACGAGAAUCAACGGAUUGAGGAUUCGUCCAAAUGAAGUUGAGGAAAGUGGCGGACGGGUGAGUAACGCGUGAGGAACCUGCCUCGGAGUGGGGAAUAACAGUUGGAAACAGCUGCUAAUACCGCAUAAUGCAACGGAAUCGCAUGACUCUGUUGCCAAAGAUUUAUCGCUCUGAGAUGGCCUCGCGUCUGAUUAGUUAGUUGGUGAGGUAACGGCUCACCAAGACGAUGAUGGGUAGCCGGCCUGAGAGGGUGAACGGCCACAAGGGGACUGAGACACGGCCCUU